rnacentral:lncRNA from 1 species
AGUAGGAGGAGUGACGGGAACCGGGAGCCGGCUCCAUGCGCCUGGAGCGCGCGGGUCCCAGCGCCCAUCGGCCCGGGGUCCGAGGGGCCCGCUGCCCGGGCUCGCUGCGUGGUGCUACCGCCCCCGGGCCCGCUGCGCCGCGUCGGAGCCCCAGCAGACUUUGAGAGGCGUGUGCGACAGUGCGCGUCCUCUCCUGCCUCUGGAUGUUUCCUUGGAGCCUCUGGCCUUCGGGAAGACCGGUGCCAUCCAGAUUCCAACAGUGACUUUUAGCUCUGAGAAGUCCAAUACUACAGCCCUGGCUGAGUUCGGAAAAUACAUUCAUAAAGCCUGAUGGCCUGGUGUUGGGCCUGAUCACCCCAAAAUUUCAGGCACCCAACGUGGGGCUAUGAAGACCAUGGUAAAGAAAUGCUAGAGUAUAUGGAAAUGAAGGACAUAUCAUCAAAGGACACCCGAGGAUGGCUGAAAGAAGCUUGGUGGGUAAGCUGGGCACUCUGAAGAACCAAGUGCCACUGGGUUAGAGUCUCCCCGACCAAGCUGGUCUCAGCAAGUGGUCUCCAUCAUGGGGGCUCGAAUCCAGGUUGAAGGGUCACCAGAGUGAUGGUUGGAGAACAUGGAACUAGCUGGAGGACACCUGAGUACUCUUAAAGCAAACCCCGUGGCCAAAAUCAAUAACCAAUUUGGAUACCAUCAAGACACCUGAAACCUUAUCAUGAGCCAGAUGCUGAGGAAGAGAUUCCAGGAGGAUCCUGAGGACCCCCUGGUUGCAGCCACGUCGAGGCUGACACUGAGGAGGACCCCAACUGUCAUGAGCAACACCCGUCGAACACAGCCAUCCACCUGGGGACAAAUCAAGAAGCUGUCACAGAUGAUGGAAGAAAACCUGAGGAAAGCGGGACAACCAAUCACAAUGAGUAAUUUGGUGAUCUAUCACAGUGAUGAUCACCAUUGCCAUGAGUAUUCCUUCAACAAGGGCUGACACAGAGAACAAUUAUACUUAUUGGGCAUAUUUAUCAAUCUUGUCUGGCAAUAAUGCCUAGAUGAUUUCACUCUAUGGCACAGUUACACAUGCUUUCUGAUCUCAGUAUUUACCAUAAUAAAUCUGCUCCUAUAAUUGAGGCAUACCACCCUCAAAAACCUAUUUGUAAACAAAAUAGAACCUGGCCAGAAAUAAUGAACAACUUGUUUAGUAAGAUUGCAUUGCAGAACAGGCAGAGAUGCUACGCAAUGAUUCCUAUGGGAUCAUUGAUUGGUCCCCUAAGGGGAUGUUUAGCUUAAAUUGCACCUCUCAGUCUGCAUGCCAUGGCCACACUAGUUCAGAUGGUCUGAACAAAGUGGUCAGAUGGCAGAAAUGAUAAGAAGUAUGGCAAAAGUUCCUAUUGUCUGGAACCAUGGCAGUAUAGUGUCACCUCAACCUCAAAUGAUAUGGCUCAUUGUAGGAGCUAAACAUAAGGAUUUGUGGAAACUAUUAAUAGCUCUUAAUAAGAUCAAAAUUUGGGAAAGAAUAAAAAAAGCAUCUAGAAAGACACUCUACAAACUUGUCUUUGGAUAUUACAAAAUUAAAAGAACAAAUAUUUAAAGCAUCCCAGGUACACCUGACCUUAAUGACAGAAACUGGAGUGCUUGAAGGAGCUGCAGACAGAUUAGCAGCUAGUAACCCAUUAAAAUGGAUAAAAACACUUGGAAGCUCUGUGAUUUCAAUGAUGAUUGUGCUUUUAAUCGGUAUUGUUUGUCUUUGUAUAGUGUGCAGAUGUGGAUCCUGACUCCUGUGAGAAGUAGCUCACAGUGUCAAAGCUGCCUUUGCUUUUAUCGAUUUGCAAAUCAAAUAAGGGGGACAUAUUGGGAACAGCACCCCCCCCCCCAAAAUCUGGCCAUAAACUGGUCCCAAAACUGGCCAUAAACAAAAUCUCUGCAGCACUGACAUGUUCAUGAUGGUCUUAAUGCCCACGCUGGAAGGUUGUGGGUUUACCAGAAUGAGAGCAAGGAACACCUGGCCCACCCAGGGUGGAAAACCACUUAAAGGCAUUCUUAAACCACAAACAAUAGCAUGAGUGAUCUGUGCCUUAAGGCUGUGCUACUGCUGCAGAUAACUAGCCCAACCCAUCCCUUUAUUUCAGCCCAUCCCUUCGUUUCCCAUAAGGGAUACUUUUAAUUAAUCUAAUAUGUAUAGAAAGAAUGCUAAUGACUGGCUUGCUGUUAAUAAAUAACGUGGGUAAAUCUCUGUUGGAGGCUCUCAGCUCUGAAGGCUGUGAGACCCCGGAUUUCC